UCCCUCUUAGCUCAGUUGGUAGAGCGCGUCACUAGUAAUAUUCUAUGUCAUGACGAGGUCAGUCGUUCAAGUCGGCUAGAGGGAA